AAAAUGAUGUUGGUGAUUUAUUAUUAUCAUUGAGAAAGAAAGCUAAAUACAGAGAGAGAGAGCUGCGGGGAUUUUUCGGGGUCGGGGAAACUCGAUCCCCGUUAGGGGCGGGGGGGGGGGAUGGGUUCCCCGCCGGGGAUCGGGGACGGGGAGGGCGAUCCUCGGCCCCGCCCCGCCCGUUGCCAUUCCUAUUUUAGAGAUCUAUUAAGACUCAAAUAUUAUUUAUUAUUUUUUUUCUACCGUCAACUGUAUAGAACUCUAUACGUACACCUCCCUAUUACUGCUGUAUGGAAGCGCAAAGUGCAUGUGAGUACACCAGCACCAUAUCAGAGCCUCCUCAGGUCUCUUUAAUCAAAAUAAAUACCAACCUCAUUCUCUCUCUCUGCCUAUCUCGCUCAAGGCGUUAAGAUCUAGAGUUCCUAGAGUGAUCUUGGCUGAGAUUAAGUUUUGGUGAGUUAAUUUCAAAAGAAAAAAAGAAAAAAAAAGUCAGAUUGAAGCUCAGUCAGUCUGAUAACACAUACAUACACAUUGAGAGAGAGAGAGAGAGAGAGAGUCUCAGAUUGAAGCUCUGGCUGAGAUUGAGAAACCAUAUUGCAUUAUCACCAAGUAGAAGAAUCAUAUACACAGAUUCAAAUGGAUAUUCGAUUCCGAUUCGGAAGCUUUUUGACACCUCACAAUUUAUGGUCUACUUUUUCAAGGAUUCAAAAACCUCUCAUCAAACCCUGUUGUUCUUCAAGGAGGGACUCCCAACAAAACGACGACGACGACAACAACAGCAACAGAGAUUUUGAAGAAAACCCAGAUGGGUUGUGGCUGAAAUUCCAACAGAACCACAAUGUCUUGACAAAGGAAAGCAAACAUUGCAUUCAAAGUGAUAGAGAAAAUGUUCCGAGGGAAAAGCGGACCAAAGUUAACAUGGAAAGUGACGUGCCAAGCUUUUCUUUGUAUGUUACUUGGAUUGAUUCAAGUAUUCACUUCAAGCCUCAUCUCUAGUUCGUGUUCGAGUUCGCAGCUCUUUCUUCAUAGUGAAAGGUUCUCUGAAAUUAUUGGAAGCCCAUAUUACAUGGCACCAGAGGUGCAUAAGCCGAAUUGUGGACCAGAAAUAGAUAUAUGUAGUGCAGGAGUAGUACUUUACAUAUUAUUGUGUGGGGUUCCUCCAUUUUGGGCUGAGUAUCAAAUAAGAUAAGAGACCUGCCUGUAGCAUAGGUUGCAGAGUAUUUGCAAAUAAGAUCCAAGACCAUCUGAUGCUUCUUCUGGAUAAGGUGGCUGCUUAUUAGGGUCAUAACAAUAGUCUACUUAUGGUGACUGGAUCAUCACACUUUUGUCAUUUGCCACUAGGCCACUUAAUUGAGGGGAGUAAGAUUUUUGUGGAUGGUGAGAAUUGGAGGUGGAGUUUUUUCUGUCAUCAAGGAACCUGAUUACCUUGUCAAUGGCGAGUAUCGUGUC